AAGUCGUAACAAGGUCUCCGUAGGUGAACCUGCGGAGGGAUCAUUAACACGUAUCCACGUAUCAAACCAAACCGCGCACUCGGGACUGAAGAACCCACGGAUCAGCAAUGGUCUGUGCUAGUAUGACGUUCCAAUCCGACUUGGGGAAGAAACGCCGUCACUGAACGCCGCGUAGUGGGUCCUUUUCUUCGGAAUUGGACGGUGUUCUUUGGCUGGAGGGAAAAGCUCAAGGCAAACUAUUCUCUAAGUAUAAAAACCUUUUUCCUAUCACUAUGGGAAGCAAACCUAUUUCACCCCCUAUAAAACAUUUUGACUGAUGACGCUCGUCGAGGAGAAAUCUGGUUACGAGUUUAAAUAUCUUAACUAAGCACAACUCUUAGCAACGGAUAUCUUGGUUCUC
rnacentral:misc_RNA from 1 species